rnacentral:tRNA from 1 species
AUUUAAAUAGUUUAAAAAAAAUUUUAAUUUGUGGAAUUAGAGAUAUAUGUAUAAAUAUUUUAAAUA